GAAUCUCGUCGAAUCAACCGUGGUAGGGACGAGAAAAAGACGGCGCGUAACCGGAAAAUGUGACGGUAUUUUUUUUCCAACGCCGAUAAAGAAGUUUCACUUCAAAAAGUUUAUUUAUUAUUAAAUUUACAAUAAUUCACGAAUGACCUAAAUGUAUGAUUAUUUUUAACCCGCAGCACGGUGGUGUAAGUAUUACAUUAUGAACAAUUUAUCAUCUAUACUAAUACCAUAAAUUGUAAAGUUUGUGAGGUUGUGGUAAUCUGUGGAACGACUGAAACGAUUUUUAAAAUUAUUUUACAAAGUCGUGUGUGAGUGUCGUAGGUUAUAUAUUAAUCCGAAAUGAAAAGACUUGCAUGGUAGCCAGAUUUGCAAAGUAUGAGAAUAAGUCGGAGAAUUAACUGUCGAACGAAAACAUUUCUUACGAUCACUGCCUUAACCUGCCUUGAAAUGGUGUAGAGCUAAAGAGCUUACAAAAAGUCAGAAACGUAGUUAGAUAUAUGCUAUAUUAUUAUGUAUAUAGAAACAAAUCCUCCGCCGCACCUAUCUGCCUGUCUGUCCGCGAUAAAAUUAAAAACUACUGUUCGGAAUUUAAUGCGGUUUGUACCAAUGUCUAGAAUGAUUCAUGAGGAAGGGUUAGGUAUAUAAUUUCAAGGGUUACGAGCCACGGUUGCCCGUGCAAAACCGGAGCGGGUCGUUAGUUUAUAUUUAGAUACCUUUAGACAAUUCGAGAUUUUUUUUAUGUUUAUCUGUAAAUUAAUUGUUACCUUUAUUUUUGUUCUAGCUCUUAGUAAGUUAGAUUAAAUUCUAUAAAUUUAAUUUGAUAAGUACUACAUGUUUUUAAUAUUAUUUAAUUUUCAUUAUAGCAAGUGAUCACUGAGAAAUGGAUAACCGUAAGUGUAUUUAAAUAUAUUUGUGUCCCUUAGUUAACAAUUAACGAUGUUGGAAGUCUUACGUCAAAUCUAUAAAUGUUUAGGGGUUGAAAGGCCCAAAC